AUAACACGUUUCUCUGAGAUGAAUCAUCACCAAAACUGUGGUCAGGCUCCAGUUACGACAAAACAAGUUCAUACUGGCAUGGAUGUUUGCCACACCUUAAUUUUGUCGUGAACCAGUUGGAGCCGACAACAUGCUGUGUCACAAACUUGAAGUGAAUAAAUAAGGGCUGCUCCCUAAAAGUUUUCAUCAGGACUCAGACACUUUUCACUGUCGAACACUCAGAAUCACUGACAUCAACAUGGACGCCCCAGCCGCUGCCGCCGCAGCCACCGCCGCCAAAGCCAAAGCCGCCGCCGAAGCCACCGCCGCCGCUGCAGCUGCAGCCGCCGCAGCCACUGCUGAAGCCGCUGCCAAAGCCGCAGCCGCCACCAAAGCCGCAGCCGCCGCCGCCCGAUAAGGCUCUUGGUCGUCUUGAUGUGGGAUCAUGUGAACAUCUGAGCAGCGAGAUGUUACCAAUCUGCUGAAUAAACCUGAGAAGCUGUUUGUUGAAAA